rnacentral:pre_miRNA from 1 species
UACUCCCUCUGUCCGGAAAAAAGACAAACUCUAGGUUUCCGUAUCUAAUGUUUGACUAUCCGUCUUAUAUGAAAUUUUUUAUAAUUAGUAUUUUUAUUGUUGUUAGAUGAUAAACCAUGAUUAAAACUUUAUGCGUGACUUGUCAUUUUAAUUUUUUUAAAUAAGACGGACGGUCAAACGUUGGACACGGAAACCCCAGGGUUUGUCCCUUUUUUUUUUUGGACCGAUGGAGUAGGUGAG